AACGAACGCUGGCGGCAUGCCUAACACAUGCAAGUCGAACGAGACCUUCGGGUCUAGUGGCGCACGGGUGCGUAACGCGUGGGAACCUGCCCUUAGGUUCGGAAUAACUCCCCGAAAGGGGUGCUAAUACCGGACAAUGUCUUCGGACCAAAGAUUUAUCGCCUUUGGAUGGGCCCGCGUUGGAUUAGCUAGUUGGUAGGGUAAAAGCCUACCAAGGCGACGAUCCAUAGCUGGUCUGAGAGGAUGAUCAGCCACACUGGGACUGAGACACGGCCCAGACUCCUACGGGAGGCAGCAGUGGGGAAUAUUGGACAAUGGGCGAAAGCCUGAUCCGGCAAUGCCGCGUGAGUGAUGAAGGCCCUAGGGUUGUAAAGCUCUUUUACCCGGGAUGAUAAUGACAGUACCGGGAGAAUAAGCUCCGGCUAACUCCGUG
rnacentral:rRNA from 1 species